ensembl:snRNA U6 U6 spliceosomal RNA
GUGCUCACUUCGACACCACAUAUGCUAAAAUUGGAGCUAUACAGAGAUUAUCAUGCUCAAUACACAAGGAUGGCAUGCAAAUUCAUCAAGAUUCCAUGUUCUUU